GGUGGUGCUAUUGCUUAGUUGGUAGAGCAAUGUGCUUUGAAAGCAGAAGGUCCCAAGGUCAAUUGCUGGCAUCCCCA